AAAAUAUUAAUCAUUGGUAAUUUAGAAGCAGGCAGAUUGAUCUUGAUGAGAGUAUAAGUAAAUUUUCUAGGAACCCAUUUAACAUAUCACAAUUCUGAAAGUUGUAUUAAAAAUAAUUGUUAUGGUAUUUUUCUCCCUAAAAAGAUAUUCUUGUUUCUGGGGCAGGGGUAUUCCAUUCAAAUGCUGAAUUUCUUAAGUCUGAUUUAAUCCAAAUAAUAGUAUUUUUCAAAUUUGCAUGGUACUUUUAAGCUACAAGGAUACUCUGAGCUUCAAUCAACCCCUUCAGUUGUGGACAUUGAAUCUUAGAGCAGGACCCAUGCUUGAGAAGGACUUCCUAGGGAACUGGUUUCCCAGAACUCAUUUCAUUGUGCUGCGUCAUCCAAGCAUUCAGAGGCUGCUGCAGCUAUGGCCUGAGAAACUUCUAGCAUCACCUCCUAGUGGCAAACUGGGAUCCCUACUCUGUUCACUCAGAACCCUGAACAAACUGCUCAACCUUUUUUGCUAGACACUCUUUUUGAGUGAUUCUUCAGAAUCUUAAUUCCAAUAAUCAUGCCCUCAGACUUUGGAAAGAUGUCAACAGAGUAAGAGCAACAGAACUCAACACCGUUGCAAAUGACUGGAGUGGCUAAAGGAUGAGGAAACUGAAAAGGAAGAAACAUUUGUUCUUGCCCUCCAAAGUUGGUCUGCAUCACCUCAAAUGAGUUGCUUUAUCUUUCACAGCCAAAUAG
rnacentral:lncRNA from 1 species